UUUUUUUUUUUUUUUGAGAGAUGGUCUCCCUGUUGUCCAGGCUGGAGUGCUGUGGCACAAUCACGGCUCACUGCAGCCUUGAACCCCUGGGCUCAAGCAAUCUUCCUGAUUGAGCCCAGGAACCUCCCAAGUAGCCAGGACUACAGGCACCUGCCACCACACCCAGCUGAUUAUUAAAAAAAAAAUUUUUUUUUUUUUGUAAAGACAAGGCAUCAUCGCUACAUUGCCCAGGCUGGUCUGAAACUCCUGGGCUCAACUGAUCCUCCCGCCUUGGCCUCCCAAAGCUGAGAUUACAGGCAUGAGCGGCCAUGCCUGCCGGUUUCUAAACAGCAGGAUGUUCUCAUUCCAAUAUUGGUGGUUAGCAGAGAACUGGAGAGAGCUGAGUUCCAAGCCCUUACUCCUCUACCUGUUAGCUAUGUAAGCUUGGCCCAAGUGACUUCUCUUGAAGCCUCAUUUUUUCUCCUCUGUAAAAUGGGACUUUCUGCACAUCUCGGGCUGUAGUGAGGAUUAAAGGCAUCAUAUAUGGAAAUGACUGCUGUUGCUGUCUCCCUCUGAGCUUUUUUUUUUUUUUUUUUUUUGAGACAGGAUCUCCCUCUGUCACCCAGAUUGGAGUGCAGUGGCACGAUCUUGGCUCACUGCAGCCUCAACCUUCCAGGCUCAAGUGAUCCUCCCACCUUAGCCUCCCAAGGAGCUGGGACCACAGGCGUGUGCCACAAUGCCUGGCUAAUUUUUUGUAUUUUUUAUUUUUUUUUGGGACGGAGUCUUGCUCUGUUGCCAGGCUGGAGUGUAAUGGCGCAAUCUUGGCUCACUGCAACCUCCGCCUUCUGGUUUAAGCGAUUCUCCUGCCUCAGCCUCCUGAGUAGCUGGGAUUGCAGGCGCGCACCACCGCACCUGGCUGAUUUUUGUAUUUUUUAGUAGAGAUGGAUUUUCACCAUGUUGGUCAGGUUGGUCUCGAACUCCUGACCUCAGGUGAUCCACCAACCUCAGCCUCCCAAAGUGCUGGGAUUACAGGCGUGAGCCACCGAGCCUGGCCUUUGUUGCUUGAUAAUAUCUAGCCCCUCUUAGUGUGCUUAGUGAGCACUUCCUAUGUGCCUCUGCUAAGUGCUUGUGGCAGAUGUGUUUUCCCUGUCCAGGUGCCAACACUUCCAUGUUUCCUUAAGGAUGCAUCCAUUUCCCUAUCGCAGGCCAUUUGGUUUGAAUGGGACUGCCUCCAACUCCAGGCAGGGUUUGGCCCCGUCUCUACUAAAAAUACAAAAAUUAGGCUGGGCAGAGUGGCUCACAUCUGUAAUCCCAGCACUUUGGGCAGCCCAGGCAGGCAAAUCACCUGAGGUCAGGAUUUCGAGACCAGCCUGGCAAACAUGGUGAAACCACAUCUCUACUAAAAAUACAAAAAUUAGGCCGGGCACGACGGCUCAUGCCUGUAAUCCCAGCACU
rnacentral:lncRNA from 1 species